rnacentral:antisense_RNA from 1 species
AUUCAUGGUGUUUGCACUGUUCUUAAAAUUCACG